AUGAGGACACCAAUUAUUUGGAUGUACAGCAACGGCGUCAAGGCUGGUGACUCUGAACUUCAUGCAGGGUAGUAUGGUAGGAGCCAGCAGUUUUACUGGAUCUCACAUCAGAGGCCCAGACGUUGGGUUGGGAAACAAAGAAAGCCCAGUCCUCUCAUCAUGGAAAUGACUUCCCAGGUUAGCUGA
rnacentral:rRNA from 1 species